rnacentral:miRNA from 17 species
AGAUCUUUUGUUCUUUUUAAUA